CUACGCAACACGGGCGAGCGCAUGAUUAGUGCCAAACGGAUCCACCCGGACCCCACCAAAUCAUUUGAAGCCUGGAAGUCGGGAAAGUGAAGCAACCAUCGCCCAUCAUAACCUUCAUUUGCCGGCAUGGAUCACUGGAUCGAGCAAAAACCCUGUUCGGGGGCACCAUGGCCAUGACCAUCAAACUGUGAGGAACGGAAAGGCACGUCGUUCGUGGAAGGGGAUCGAUGGAACGGGAGCCGUGCGUGCGCGAUUCGGGGCCCGGGGGGAACGCGUAUGCUUAAGCGAGAUAGCACGAAAACACCGGCACGGACUGAUAACGUCGAGUGGAAGGAAGCCAAAUCCGUGUCUCCUACACCGAUGGACGCCGUUCGGUUAUCACACAGCAGGUCCACAGUCGUCUAAAGAUUUAGCGUGUGUUUGCCACCGCUUUUAAUCACGGAAAUCACUGUCCUGCAGGCGCUAUUCCAUGGAUCCUGGAGAAAUUCGGAACGCUACA